CAAUAUGAUGCCAGUCUUCGAAAUGCCGCUUAUGCCACACCUUAAAUGAUGCUUAUGAGACCCCAUUACGGUGCAGCCCGAUGCGACCGCAUCUCUGCAUCAUAGCACGGCACGGUCCUGUAUAUGUAUAUACACAGGAGGUUUUGUGGGUCGGGAAUAAGUUAUUAUUGGGGCUUCAAAAUAUUUGCAAAAUUUCCUUAGAAAUUUGAAAGUGCGAAGCCCCUCUGAGGCUUGAAAAACUGACGUCUGAGCCGGCAUUACAGAAUCAAGGAGAAAAAGAAUCAGCAAAAUCAUUUAGAGCCUCUUUGGAUUCGGAACCCAAAAAAGCCCUAAAUUUAAUUUUUUUACUUAAAAGAAAGUGUUAAUUAACUUAUUUAUUUUAUUUUCAGAAAUGCGAGUCGAACGCGAUACAGAGGAAGAUGUAGAUGAAGGUAUUUAAUUUUUCAGUUUCAAGAAAAAGUAAAAUUUAUAAUCCUAAUUUUGUACUUCUAUUCUUCUUAAAACCAGUAAUUAGUUUUUAAAUUUGUUACCAGAUGGCAAUGUUGGUAAUUUUUUUGGGCUAUAAUCGCCAUAUUUAGUCCUUUUUACAAUAUUGCAUUUACAGUUUCUAUUUUAGAACGCUUAUUUGUCAAUUGAAUUUUAUCUUAUAUGAUCCAAAAAAAUACUUUUUUUAAAUAAAAUAACACGAUACGCAGUACUUAACGAAUACAGUGUUAACAUCGGGACUAAACAUGGCGGCUCAUUGGCUCAAAUUGCUUCACAUAUAUAUAUAUCUAANAUUAUUAA